GGGGAUUUAGCUCAGUGGUAGAGCGCUUGCCUAGGAAGCGCAAGGCCCUGGGUUCGAUCCCCAGCUCCU
rfam:Rattus norvegicus chromosome X, whole genome shotgun sequence.